rnacentral:tRNA from 2 species
UGGUUCAAGUCCCUCUAUCCCCC